UCCCGCCGCGCGCGGCGGGCCUACGGGAGGCAGCAGUGGGGAAUAUUGCACAAUGGGCGCAAGCCUGAUGCAGCCAUGCCGCGUGUAUGAAGAAGGCCUUCGGGUUGUAAAGUACUUUCAGCGGGGAGGAAGGUGUUGUGGUUAAUAACCACAGCAAUUGACGUUACCCGCAGAAGAAGCACCGGCUAACUCCGUGCCAGCAGCCGCGGUAAUA
rnacentral:rRNA from 1 species